rnacentral:rRNA from 1 species
GUGGGGAAUCUUGCGCAAUGGGCGAAAGCCUGACGCAGCCAUGCCGCGUGAAUGAUGAAGGUCUUAGGAUUGUAAAAUUCUUUCACCGGGGACGAUAAUGACGGUACCCGGAGAAGAAGCUCCGGCUAACUUCGUGCCAGCAGCCGCGGUAAUACGAAGGGGGCUAGCGUUGCUCGGAAUUACUGGGCGUAAAGGGCGCGUAGGCGGACAGCUUAGUCAGAGGUGAAAGCCCAGGGCUCAACCUUGGAAUUGCCUUUGAUACUGGCUGUAUUGAGAUUGGGAGAGGUGAGUGGAACUCCGAAGGUAGAGGUGAAAUUCGUAGAUAUUCGGAAGAACACCAGUGGCGAAGGCGACUCACUGGCCCGUUACUGACGCUGAGGAGCGAAAGCGUGGGGAGCAAACAGGAUUAGAAACCCCGGUAGUCC